rnacentral:rRNA from 1 species
UAAUACGUAGGGACCAAGCGUUGUCCGGAAUCAUUGGGCGUAAAGAGCGUGUAGGCGGCUUGUUAAGUCUUGUGUGAAAUCUCGGGGCUCAACCCCGAGCGGUCAUGUGAAACUGGCAGGCUAGAGUGCGGGAGAGGAGAGUGGAAUUCCUGGUGUAGCGGUGAAAUGCGCAGAUAUCAGGAAGAACACCAGUGGCGAAGGCGGCUAUCUGGAACGCAACUGACGCU